rnacentral:rRNA from 1 species
UAGUGGAACUUCUGAGUAUAAAAAACAAAUAAAUCAAAACUUUCAACAACGGAUCUCUUGGUUCUGGCAUCGAUGAAGAACGCAGCAAAAUGCGAUAAGUAAUGUGAAUUGCAGAAUUCAGUGAAUCAUCGAAUCUUUGAACGCACAUUGCGCCCGCCAGUAUUCUGGCGGGCAUGCCUGUUCGAGCGUCAUUUCAACCCUCAAGCCCAGCUUGGUGUUGGGAGCUGCAGUCCUGCUGCACUCCCCAAAUACAUUGGCGGUCACGUCGAGCUUCCAUAGCGUAGUAAUUUACACAUCGUUACUGGUAAUCGUCGCGGCCACGCCGUUAAACCCCAACUUCUGAAUGUUGACCUCGGAUCAGGUAGGAAUACCCGCUGAACUUAAGCAUAUCAAUAAGCGGAG